CAGACACAGAGCUGGCUGAUACACUAAAUAACAUAUUCACAGCCGGGUUUUCAUGUGUGUGGCAUGCACCUUCUCUUUUUAAACCCACUUGCUUUAUUUACUCUGUAAUCCUUAACUGUAAUGCAUAUUUGGAUGGCACAGUGGAGCUGAAAUGUGCCAGGUGCACUAUACUUAUUAUGUAAUCUAAUUAAGCACAUUCUUCAUACUGCUAUCAGAUGGAGCCCUGGGGAGCAACUAAGGCACAAAGACUGUGACACGGCCACCAGAUUGGCCAUGGUGUUCAGCUGUUAGCUGAUUACAUUGAUCUCAUUGAUUUGUUACAGCUUUCCAGUCAUUCCAUACCCAAAGGUUUUUGUGUUUCUAUGAGCUGUAAUAUUUCUUCAGAGGUGCUUUUACUUAAAAGGCAAAGAGGAGGAGUGGGGGGUGAGGCAGACUUGUGCACGACCCAUCUGCAUGCUCUUGCUCUUCAAAUGCUCUGCCGAAGGUAGACAAAACGCAUGAGUGUAUGUUAAAGGCGAUUUGAGCUUCAUUGUAUACAGCCACUGUGGAGACGCUCCUGAUUAAAAACCACAAACUCUGUCGGUGGGUGGAGCAGGCCAUCACAGAGCAAGAUCAGGUGCCAUGAGCAGAACAAGCAUGGCUAAUUGAACUGUCAUGCACACACACAUAUAUAAAACAAGGGAAAAUUCCUGAACUGUCUGUGGUUUUCUUGACAUAGGACAGUGCCCUGAUUAGAUAUUGGAGCAGUAAUCUUAUGCAUUGGUGUUCUAUCGCCUGCCCCCAAUACAUAUACACAGCUACACAAAGGACAUGACACACACAUGUUCACUGGGGCUGUGAUGUGAUUUCUGUUCUGCCAAUUAAAUUUGGCAAGCACAGAUGAAAACUCUGGCCAUAUUUUAGGAAGCUGUCUUAUUAGACUUGGUUUCAGACAUUGGCGAUAUCUCAUGAGCACUGUAAAAUGUCACUCAAGAAUAGGGAGGAACAUUUUGAUUGCACCCAGAUCUGAUAUAGGCAUGUUCUUCCCAUGGAUAUUCUCUUUGUUCGCCCUUUGCUGAAAUUCAGCAUCUUUUCCAUCUGCAUAUAGAUCACACAGCCAUACCACCCACAAUGCUCCAGCACAAACGUCUGAACUGACUGUGAGUUUUCUAAGAGCAACAGAUGCUAGCGACAGCUCUCAGUACCUAAUUAUCCACUCCAGCCUGGCUUUUUAUACAGCAUGUGCACGUGUGUCUGUUCCACUUUUCUGCUUGAAUUUAACUUGUCGACAGGAGGAUUUGCCAGUAAUUGUCCGGUAACACACCCCUUCAGCCUCCACUAUUGUCUUGCCGUCUCUGCACGGUGGCUAUCAUUAAUCAACCCAUUGAGGAGCGAGCUGAACUCGCUAACCUGCACCGCCCAACCCUAGUUACAGAGGAAGUUUUCAAUUUCCCUGGUAAAUCACAAGGACACAAGGGCCUGACAAUAGGGCAUAUAUGUAAAGUAUGAAAAUUAAAAGAAGAUAUAUAAAAGAUAUAGGUUGUCUAAUAGUGGUGGUUGCAGCAGGGAGGUGGUCAUUUUUAUUUCCAACAGAUCCUGAGGUAUACGAAUGAAAGGUGUUGCAGUGAUACUCGAUGGGACAAACAGAGAAUUCCAGAGCUGUAGCUCUGGGUCUCAGCAGGGAUCAGGGUACGACCUAGUGCAACUGGUGACACGGAGAGGUCAGACAGUCACGCAGGGGGCAGCCUGUCACACUGUGCUACAUUUGUGUGUGAAUAGUGGUCCACUGAAUACCACUUCUGCAAUUUGUUCUGUUCAAAUGCUCUUGUUCCCCUCUGCACAGUCACUUAUAAGUCUGAACGUGUUUGUAGCACUGCUGUGUACUUGCACUUACACCAAUCCUUGUGUUUAUUUUUUACUUGUGCUUUUUCUGUUCUUAUCUAGAGUUAGUUGGUUGAAAAUCAUUUCAACAACUGUAUAUUUGUGAUGUAUUCUGUCUCGCUGUCUCUAAUAGCUGAUGAAUAAAUGUAACUUUACUUCAGGAAACAGAGACAGACUUCCUUUUUUUCAAGAAGCAUCUAAAAAUAUUAUUAAACAUGAACCCGACAGGCUUAUACUAUAAAAAUAAAUUCUAUUUUCAUCAGGGUUGACAAGACUCUGUUUCAGGGCUCAGCAAGACGAAGAGGUUUAUUUUCUUCUUGAUUUUAAGAGCUUUCCAGGUCUGUAUUAGGACAACACAAUGCUUGCUCUAGGUGACAAGGAAAAACUGGGUGGCCGUGUACGCUCACUGAGCUGCUUUCUGUGGGAAAUUGCCAAGCUGAUCACACCUGGUCUCAGUGAGGGGUGGAAGAGGUCAACUUGUCCAUCAUUCCUUCUCAUCAAGGCCAGCAACAGAAAUGUUGUUCCAGUGGUGUUUAUAAAACUAUCGAAUACACUGACUGCAACUCACCUUCUACCAUGACUUCGUGUUUACCAGGUCGCACACUGAAUAUGUCUUUUUAGCAAAUGGGUACUUCCCAGAGAAAUGGCUUCAUUUCUCAUUUGGAGAAAGAAAUCUGCACUAGUUCAGAGAGAUUUGCUCAACUGUCUGUGAUGUGUCCAUAUUUUUUCUUUUAGUCUUAGUGCUUUAGAUAAAAUAGGCUAUUUAAACAUCUAUUCCUUAUGUUUUGAAAUAAAAUAUUUAUAAUAUGUGCACUGUUUUUUU